AACCCCAACUAAAAUACAAUCUGAAAAAAUAAAAAUAAAACAAAAAAUUUAUAUAAUUAUUACCCCUCUCUCUCUCUUUCUUCUCAAAACCCCAUAACAACCUUAUCUCUUUCCUCUCUCUCUUAAACACAAAAAAAAACCCUAGUUUCUAACAGCCAACAUCUCAGCCGCAAGAGGCCACUAAUCCCAGCCCCUCUCUGUUUUUGCACCGGAGCCGACCUCGACCUCUCACCCUCUCUCUAUUUUCUCAACGGAGCCAUGACCCCAACCUUCUCUCUCGCUCGACUUCUCACCGUCUCUCUGUUUUCGAACCGAAGCCACAAAUCCAUUUGCCUCCAUUCAAGAACCCAAAACACCCAACAGGCAUUCCGACCUUCGUCACACCGUAGGCCGCCCCAGAUGGCCAUUGUUCUUACGAGCAGAAGUUUACCGUCGCCGCCUCUGGUAAAUAUCUUUCUUCUUUUUUUCUUUUUUUUUUAUUUUUUCGUUUGCCUCUCUCUCUCUCUCCUUUCUCUGCAGCGUUUGUGGUGGACAACGAUUGAAGCUAGUUGUGGAUUUCGACUUUCAUGGUGUAGGGUUCGUUUGAAGCUCCUUGGAUCUGAUUUUGCUUUAGAUUUGGUAUUUGAAGGAGAGUUCUAGUUUCAAAUCUUGGUUGACUGGCGUUGGGCCUUCAGUGUUUGAUGGGAAAAAUUGACUGGCGUUAGAAUUUGAUUGAGGGAUUUGUAUUUAGUUUAUACUAUUUUAUGUUA